rnacentral:rRNA from 1 species
GUGAGGGAUAUUGGGCAAUGGGGGCAACCCUGACCCAGCGACGCCGCGUGAGGGAAGACGGUCUUCGGAUUGUAAACCUCUGUCUUUGGGGACGAAAAAGGACGGUACCCAAGGAGGAAGCUCCGGCUAACUACGUGCCAGCAGCCGCGGUAAUACGUAGGGAGCGAGCGUUGUCCGGAAUUACUGGGUGUAAAGGGAGCGUAGGCGGGAAAACAAGUUGGAUGUGAAAACUGCGGGCUUAACCUGCAGACUGCAUUCAAAACUGUUUUUCUUGAGUGAAGUAGAGGCAAGCGGAAUUCCUAGUGUAGCGGUGAAAUGCGUAGAUAUUAGGAGGAACACCAGUGGCGAAGGCGGCUUGCUGGGCUUUUACUGACGCUGAGGCUCGAAAGUGUGGGGAGCAAACAGGAUUAGAAACCCUAGUAGUCC